rnacentral:lncRNA from 1 species
CACUGAUAAGAGUCUACGGGAAUACAGGUCAGGUAUAGAUGAGAAGAUGUCACCAGAGCCACUGAGACUCGGGACACCUAGAUAACUCACAAAAGGGCACUUGCAGAAAGAACAAAGCAGCACUUGAGCAAGAUGAUACAAUCUCACUUCUGCCCUUGCCAUCCUCACCCUAAGCCUUUUUUUGGUACUCCCAGAUGAUUCUCUAACAUCUUCAUUUUCAUGGUGGUUGCUUGCAUAAAUAACAAAGGUCUUCUGAGUAAACAUCAUCACGUGGCCCAAUGUGUCAUGAUGCAUCUGAGGAAAUGGAUGUAGAGAUUGUGGUGAGUCAGCAGAAAAGAAAUUCACUGCUGACCUACUCACGGAAAAACUUAAAAGUAGUGACAAUCCAUAAUAAAUAAACUCCAGGACUACUCAGGGUGUGUACUAAAACUGGAUAACAAUAGUAAGACAACAAGAAAGGACAUGCUGAGAAGGUGAACAUUGAAUUUGAAUGACAGACUAGACUUGAAGAACAACUCAUUGUCAGGGACCCCACAGCCACCACACUUGGCUCGGACAACAGGUCAAUAUCAGUGACUUUCCUCUUUAAAUGAAAGCUACAGUGCUAAUUUUCCUUGGGAGCAAAUUGUACAUGUGUUCCAAGUUCUCCAUCAUGCAGCACCUGACCGAUUCUUCUGGUCUAUCGACAAGAGCUCCUCUAAGUUCAUCAAUAACUUCCCUGCCUUUAUCUUUGCUCAGGCUGCCUUGGCAGCUUGCUUCAUCCUUUAUCUCUCUCCAUGUUAAGACAUUUGUCAAUUCCCAAUACAGAAAAAAAUAACCAAUAAAACAACAAUCAAAAAACAACAAAC